GACGAACGCUGGCGGCGUGCUUAACACAUGCAAGUCGAACGAAGAGCGAUGGAAGCUUGCUUCUAUCAAUCUUAGUGGCGAACGGGUGAGUAACGCGUAAUCAACCUGCCCUUCAGAGGGGGACAACAGUUGGAAACGACUGCUAAUACCGCAUACGAUCUAACCUCGGCAUCGAGGAUAGAUGAAAGGUGGCCUCUACAUGUAAGCUAUCACUGAAGGAGGGGAUUGCGUCUGAUUAGCUAGUUGGAGGGGUAACGGCCCACCAAGGCGAUGAUCAGUAGCCGGUCUGAGAGGAUGAACGGCCACAUUGGGACUGAGACACGGCCCAGACUCCUACGGGAGGCAGCAGUGGGGAAUCUUCCGAAAUGGACGAAAGUCUGACGGAGCAACGCCGCGGGAGUGAUGACGGCCUUCGGGUUGUAAAGCUCUGUUAAUCGGGACGAAAGGCCUUCUUGCGAAUAGUGAGAAGGAUUGACGGUACCGGAAUAGAAAGCCACGGCUAACUACGUG
rnacentral:rRNA from 1 species